UGUCAGGGACAGGGCAGUAUUCCAGUUUAAGCCUGUCUACCUCUGGAGCUCUCCUGAUCAAUACAUCAGAGAAGAUGAUGGAGCCCUCCUGCCGCUCUUGGGGAGAGUUACGUCGCUGCUGUCAUCGAUGCCAUGCUGGACCUCACAGCGAUAGAUACCUGAGUCGUUGGGGCGCAGCUCGCUCAGCGCCAGGGAGACAUCAGUGAGCGAUGCUGGGUACGCAGGCAGUGCCACGCGGAACCGGUAGGCCUCGUUCACCUUGACGCGCACUCCCCGCGCCACCAGCACCUCUGCCUCCCGGCCCCCGGACAGGAAAGUCCACUUGACCCGCGGAGAGCCCAGCACAGCCCGGCGGCUCGGCGGCGGCCGCAGGUAGUGAACGUGGCACGGGAUGGUGAGGGCGCCGCCGAGCACGCCCUGCAGUGGCGCGUCGCCCGCGAUGCGCACGCGAAAAGCGCGGUCCUCUGUGAACCGGUGGAGCCGGCUGGAACUUAACGCUGUCGACCCUCAGAGUCCCACCCGGUGGCCUCCAAGCCCCGCUCCAGGAUCCCUCCUUCCGGCCCCAGGAUUUCCCGGCCCCCCUAGGACCAGGGGCCAGGGUCCUGCAGCCCUACCUCUGGGUCCUCCAGGACCACCCCGACGGUCUCUAGACCCAUCCCCCAAAGUCUCCCAGUCAAUUCAGCCCCCAGGAUUCCUUGCCCUGCUCUCAGAGUCUUCCACUUCCUCUCCAAAAUUCCUAGACCA
rnacentral:antisense_RNA from 1 species